CCUACGGGUGGCAGCAGUGAGGAAUAUUGGUCAAUGGGCGGGAGCCUGAACCAGCCAAGCCGCGUGAAGGAAGAAGGCGCCAGGCGUCGUAAACUUCUUUUGUCGGGGAACAAAGGGCGCCACGUGUGGCGUUGUGAGUGUACCCGAAGCAAAAGCAUCGGCUAACUCCGUGCCAGCAGCCGCGGUAAUACGGAGGAUGCGAGCGUUAUCCGGAUUUACUGGGUGUAAAGGGAGCGUAGACGGUUAUGCAAGUCUGAAGUGAAAGCCCAAGGCUCAACCAUGGGACUGCUUUGGAAACUGUAAAACUGGAGUGCAGGAGAGGUAAGCGGAAUUCCUAGUGUAGCGGUGAAAUGCGUAGAUAUCACGCAGAACUCCGAUUGCGAAGGCAGCAUACCGGCGCCCAACUGACGCUGAAGCACGAAAGCGUGGGUAUCGAACAGGAUUAGAUACCCUUGUAGUC
rnacentral:rRNA from 1 species